GGUGUAGGUCCUCCUCUCCCUCCACCUCCGGAGAUCAUCCAGCCUGCCCUCCAUGCAGAACUGAAGAAUCCACACCCUGGUCUUCUCUCCCUCUAAGCUCCAUAUGAUCUGUGGAUUGUAUCAUGGGCAUUGUGAGCUUUGGGGCUAAUAUCCACUUAUCAACUAUUCCCUUUUUGGAUCUCCUAUCUGCUGCAUGGAACAGGUCUCUGGUUGCAGGUGCACAAGAAGUUGGCAAAUGACAAACAGAAAUGACAGACACAAAAGGGCUCAGAGCUACAAGUUUACAUUGAAUCUCACAGUGGAACUUACACAUAAACUUUUGAAUGGUCAUGAGAGUUUGACAACUGUGUCAAUGCUUGGAGAUGGGCCACAUCAAUGAAAGUAUUGAACAUCCACAGGAGAUUCCCAGCCUGAAACAGGCUGAUCAAGACUUUGACCUUGCUGCCACUAAGAAGGAGACCACCUGGGGUGGAGCCUU